rnacentral:rRNA from 1 species
UGGAUCCAGACUUUGAUUCUGGCUCAGGAUGAACGCUGGCGGCGUGCCUAACACAUGCAAGUCGAGCGGGAAAUUUUAAAAUGAAGCUUCGGUAGAUUUUUAAGAUGGAGAGCGGCGGACGGGUGAGUAACGCGUAGGCAACCUGCCCUUUGCAGAGGGAUAGCCAUUGGAAACGAUGAUUAAAACCUCAUAAUACUAAAUAGUCACAUGGCUGUUUGGUCAAAGAUUUAUCGGCAAAGGAUGGGCCUGCGUCUGAUUAGCUAGUUGGUGGGGUAACGGCCUACCAAGGCGACGAUCAGUAGCCGACCUGAGAGGGUGAUCGGCCACAUUGGAACUGAGACACGGUCCAAACUCCUACGGGAGGCAGCAGUGGGGAAUAUUGCACAAUGGGCGAAAGCCUGAUGCAGCAACGCCGCGUGAAGGAAGAAGGUCUUCGGAUCGUAAACUUCUGUCCUUGGGGAAGAUAAUGACGGUACCCUUGGAGGAAGCCCCGGCUAACUACGUGCCAGCAGCCGCGGUAAUACGUAGGGGGCAAGCGUUAUCCGGAAUUAUUGGGCGUAAAGAGUGCGUAGGUGGUUACUUAAGCGCGGGGUUUAAGGCAAUGGCUCAACCAUUGUUCGCCCUGCGAACUGGGUUACUUGAGUGCAGGAGAGGAAAGCGGAAUUCCUAGUGUAGCGGUGAAAUGCGUAGAUAUUAGGAGGAACACCAGUGGCGAAGGCGGCUUUCUGGACUGUUACUGACACUGAGGCACGAAAGUGUGGGGAGCAAACAGGAUUAGAUACCCUGGUAGUCCACACCGUAAACGAUGAGCACUAGGUGUCGGGGUCGCAAGACUUCGGUGCCGCAGUUAACGCAUUAAGUGCUCCGCCUGGGGAGUACGUACGCAAGUAUGCAACUCAAAGGAAUUGACGGA